GUGUCAGCCGCCGCGGUAAUACAGAGGGUGCGAGCGUUGUCCGGAAUCACUGGGCGUAAAGGGUGAGUAGGUGGCUAGGUAAGCGUGUGGUGAAAGUCCGGGGCUCAACCCCGGAUCUGCCGUGCGAACUGCUUGGCUCGAGCAAUGUAGAGGCAGGUGGAAUUUCGGGUGUAGCGGUGGAAUGCGUAGAUAUCCGAAAGAACACCAGUGGCGAAGGCGGCCUGCUGGGCAUUUGCUGACACUGAAUCACGACAGCGUGGGGAGCAAACAGGAUUAGAAACCCGUGUAGUCC
rnacentral:rRNA from 1 species